UGAAGCACAGGUUCAAGCGUAGGUUGCACACUCUCCAAAGUCCCAUCGGAAGGGGGAGAUGCAGGAGCUUGAGGGGCGAGUGGCCUGUACUUCGAGGCCCAGCAUCAGAGGCUCACCUGCAGGAUGAGGACGAAGUAGUCAGCUGGCUUGUUCCGGGUAUACAGGAGGAGUGGCCAGAGGCUCAGGUUACCCCCUUUGUGACUGUACCUCCACCCAUGAGGAAGGCACUUCCCAUACUCUUACCUGUGGCCAGGAAGCGAUGAGCAGCUAGAAGAAGCUGAGAGCUGCCAUGGGAUUCUGGGCCCGUGGAGAGGGCUGAACUCACUGUACAUGUCCGACUCGUCCAGGAUCUCAGAUUUGAUGAUCUCCUCAAUGACGUCCUCCAGUGUGACCAAGCCCAGCACCUCGUAGAAGGGGUCGCCCUCCCCUUCAUUGUUCACCUUCUGCACGAUGGCCAGGUGGGACUUCCCUGUAGGAGAGGACACUAAGUCAGGUUUCUGAUGAUUGUUCUACAAGGAGACACUGCCCUUAUGAACAGGAAGACCCACAGUAUUUUUAAAUGUAUUACAAUUGGGAUCCUUUGCUUAAAGAGGAUGGAAACCAGGUGUGGUAACUCACAUCUGUCAUCCCAAUACUCAGGAGGUGGAGGCAGGAUUGCUGCAAGGUUGAGGCCAUCCUGGGUUACACAGUCAAUCCCAGGCCAGCCUGAACUAUAUGUAACCCCCUGUCACAUACCAAAGAAGAAGAAAAAAAACCUAAGGAGGAUAAAAUGACAGGCUCUGCCAGGCACUGCCUGUCAGGGAUUCUGAGGCCCCAGGAAAGAGGCUAUAGUACAAGACCACAGGAAGCCCUUGGUCAGUGGUGUGUCUAUGCCAGCUGGACAGGGGGUCUCACACCACCCAGGGCCUCAUGGACCUCUACACCCAGUUCUCUUACACAGUUCUGCCUAGCAAACUCCCUUACAGGAAACCAAGGUCUGUUGUACUGCCCAAAGCCAAGGCUCUGGGUCUCAAAAGCACUAACAAACUCACUGUAUCAGGCCAGGCAGCGUCCACAAUUGGGAAGGCCUUCCUGGGGUGAUCAAGUCGCAGCCUGGAUUCAGGUCCUGAGACGGGGAAGGGGCUUUGGUGCAAAGAUAUGAAUUGUCCCACCACCAGAUUCCCUGAAGUUGGAGUUGUUGGUGUUGUAAGCUGUGUUGUUGGGAACCAAACUAACAACAGUAAGUGCCCUUAACCAGAGAGCCAUGCCUCUAGCCUGUAACUUUUGACAAGGUUGGGGAAUAAACAUCCUGAUUGGACAGGAAUUCAAUUACCACACCCUUCAGUGAAUUCCUCAAAAGAGCCACAGGCUCUGAGCAAAUCUUAACACACAGUCAUGGUUUUACUGGGGCUACAGGAGAGGCUGGCGGCUUCUCUAAAGGACGGAAAUGCCCACUGUAGAUAGAACAAGCUGGUGGCGGCCACACAAGUGACAGGCACUUUGUAGGUAGGUAGCCCUGGGGAACCAAACUGAAUAGUCGGUCCUGCUCUAUGCCAAGAAUUCUGGACACUUUCCCUAAAGAUGGCUUGCCCACUGGGCCC